GCCGAGGUGGCCCGUCCUCUCGAGCCUCCAGCUUGGCUCCGUGGUCAGGAUGCACUUUCUGCCCCGUGGGGAGGGCGCUUGGCCCGAAGAGAGAGAGUCAGGCCCUCCUGCCUGCCCUGCCCCUGCCCCGGGCAGACCCUGGCCCGCAGGAGGCCCGUUUCCCUCCCUGAGCUUCCUGGCUGCCCCUAGGCCAAUCUGGAAUGUUCCCUGAAGCUGGGAGAGCGACUGCGAAGGGCCUCCUCCACCUGCCAGAAGAGGGGAGGGAAGGUAACAGCCUUGGGCUCGAGCCCGGGGACCUCUGCCAGCGGCCACGUCCAGCCCACAGCCCCAGGGAGGGCCAGGAGGAACCACAGAGCCCGAUCUCCCCAGGCUGGGGGCCGAGCCCAGGCGAACCCGCCUCCCCAGGGGGCUUCAGAUGCAGAAAUCAGCUUUCUGUCCUAGAAUGGAGCCCAGCCGCCCGGGCCUGUCGUCACAGCGUCCGAAGUCUGUCCCAUCAGAGGCCAGCUGCCCGGAGGGUAACGCAGGUGUGUUUCAGGGAAUAACACAGAAACCACCGGGUCGGCUCUGGUCCCUCCUCCCCACCUGGACAUUUGUGUGAGGUCACUGUCACCACUGCAAUCACAGGCUCACCAGGCUGUAGGAAACCCUGGACUUUUUCUUCCGCUGUCUAGAGGCGUGUUUGAUUCACUUUUUCACAUACAGACAAACCUGCACCCCUUGGGGCCCAGCAAACACGGGUGGGGGCCUCACCCACUCUGGGCAAAGUGGGCGGUCACCCCACAUAUCUGCACGAUAACCUUUGGACAAAGUGCUCCCGGCCCCAUGGAACCGCAUGGAAAUGAGGACCUGUAAUCCUAAGAUGACCCCUCCUCACUGGCUCUGAGGAAAUCACGCCCCACCGCCAGCCCCACCCUGUGGAAGUUUUGUCUCCAUGGUCAGACCUGCUUGUUUGCACCGCCUUCCUAUCUUCAUCAUUUCUACCUUCAAACGUCCUCUUCGCCUGCUCUCUCCUCAACCUGCCUGGCUCCUCCUGCAAGGGCCUCCCCAGACAGGGCUCCUGCAGGUCAUGAGAACCACAGAGAGACUGCACCUGCCAUUCUGGUCGGAGCCUGCUCAGGGGCUCAGACCAGGGCAGCCCUCCUGCACGCCUGAGCAGACCCAGCAGUGCUCUGCUUCCCCUUAGCAGGACAGGGUAGGUGACCCCCAAAAGACAGAAACCACUGUCCACUGCAACUGAGCAGGAAACCUCACAAAUCUGACAAGGAGAAAACAG
ensembl:lncRNA